CAGGGCAGUCAGGUGACGUCACGUAGACAUGGCCGCACGCAGAGCAGAGCAGAGCUGUUGGUAAACAAUCAGAUGAACUCGGUUUGAAGCCAGUAAAGUGCACCGUUCCUCACAUGACAUGACCCUGAAAUCUGCCGUACUAAAGGUCAACCACGGGGGCGUAUCACGAAACGUUUUCGUUAGCAAUUAUAAAUUAGCUGUUAAAAUCUGGACGUGUUGGCUUCUUCCCUGUUCGAGCUGCUCCUCAAAACACACGGAGGUCGGAGAUUAAUGUGAUGCCUGGUAUUGCAGCGUUAAUCUCCUUUUUUUUUUUCUCAACUCUGCUAACAUUACGUUUUGAGGGAGUUUUAUGCGCAAUGACAAAUGGCACAUCUUUUUAUUAAAAGAGUAACUGCUACAAGGAGCUGCUGUUAUUAAACUGACCUCUGGUGAGCUUAAUUUCUGGUUUCCCUUAUGUCCAGCAGCCACGAUGAGUACAGCUUGAAGUACAUGAGCAACCUUAUGGGCAGCAGGAGGCAGAAAUCAGUGGAUGGCGGCGAGCAGAGUCUCAUUGGGCCUCCAUCUGGGGACUCUGGUGGGGAUCUCCUGGACAAAGAUGCCUCCACAUCGGGGUUCGUCUAUAUGUUGGCGUUUUUCUCUGCCCUGGGAGGAUUUCUCUUUGGGUAUGACACUGGGGUGGUCUCCGGGGCUAUGCUGCUCCUGAAGAAGGAGAUGAACCUGAACAAUCUGUGGCAGGAGCUGCUUGUGUCCAGUACUGUUGGGGCUGCAGCGCUAUCUGCCCUGAGCGGAGGCUUCUUGAAUGGGUGGCUGGGGCGCAGGAUUUGCAUCAUUUUCUCCAGUUUCAUCUUCAGCGUCGGAGGCAUCAUCAUGGGUUUUGCACCGGACAAGGUGGUGCUUCUUGUGGGCAGAAUCACAGUUGGUUUGGGAAUAGGCAUUGCCUCUAUGACAGUACCUGUAUACCUCGCAGAAGUUUCCCCCCCUCAUCAGAGAGGUCUGCUGGUCACUAUCAACUCCCUCUUCAUCACUGGUGGCCAGUUUAUUGCCAGUGUGGUCGAUGGAGCUUUCAGCUACCUGAGCCAUGAUGGCUGGAGGUACAUGUUGGGUUUGUCCGUUGUCCCAGCAGUGCUGCAGUUCAUUGGCUUCUUCUUCCUGCCAGAAAGCCCCCGUUGGCUUCUCCAAAAGGGCCGGAACCAAGAGGCCCGACAAGUUCUCAGCCAGAUCAGAGGAGGCCAGAGCGUUGAUGAAGAGUACGACAUUAUCAAAACUAGCAUUGAGGAAGAGGAGAAAGGGGCGAGUGCAGGAUUUGUUAUCUUGCGGAUCCUUCGCCACGGUCCGACUCGCAGGGCACUCUUCGUUGGCUGCGGCCUCCAGAUGUUUCAGCAGCUGGCUGGGAUAAACACCGUCAUGUACUACAGUGCAACCAUUCUGCAGAUGGCAGGGGUGCGGGAUGAUAAACAGGCAAUCUGGUUGGCUGCUGGAACUUCUGCUACCAACUUUGUGUUCACCUUGGUUGGAGUGUGGCUUGUCGAAAGAGUGGGCCGCAGGAAGCUGAUCCUGGGCAGUCUAUUAGGUACUGCAUUGAGUCUGACUUUGCUGGCAGUCGGGUUCUUGUUAUCUGCCCAGAAUUCUCCACCAAUCACCCUCCACCCAGUUGACUCUCAGAACUCAACCUGCAGACUAUACGGGUUCUGUGAAUUAUGCAUGCUGGAUCCGGAUUGUGGAUUUUGUUAUCGUGAAAACAGCACCAGUGUAUACGACUCCUCCUGCGUUCCUGUCGAUCAAACGUCUACUGAUCACGCCGCCUGGGGAAGGUGUUUCAACCGUACGGAAACAGCUGACAGCCCAAUCUGGGCCUACAACUUCUGUCCAACUUCCUACUCCUGGAUUGUCCUGCUGGGCCUCGUCCUGUACCUUGCAUUCUUUGCUCCAGGUAUGGGCCCCAUGCCUUGGACAGUGAACUCAGAGAUCUACCCACUGUGGGCCCGAAGCACUGGCAACGCCUGUUCAGCUGGCGUCAACUGGAUCUUCAACGUCCUGGUGUCUCUGACCUUCCUUCAUGUCGCUGAGUUUCUCACCUAUUACGGGGCGUUCUUCAUGUACACGGGCCUGGUGGUGUUGGGUCUCCUCUUCGUCCAGGGCUGCCUCCCAGAGACCCAGGGCCUCCAGCUGGAAGAGAUCGAGACAUUGUUUACCGGUCAGCUCUGCUCCUGCGGAGCCACCUCACCCAAUGACAAACGCCACGUCCACUACAUCCGGGUAAAAGGCAGCAACUGCCUACAUUCUGACAACGAUGCCUCUGAUGUAGAGUAGACUGGAUUUUCUCUUUCAACUGUCCUUUGGUUUGCUGAUGUGGGGAGGAAGAGUAAUCAUGUUGCCCUCUGGUCAGUGUGAUCAUAUAUGAACAAACUAGACUUAAGCUCUUCGGUGAUUGACUAUAACUGGCGGUGUCACCUCACUCAGGAGUCUGUCAAUCAUUUCUGUUUUUUUCCAUCUGCCUUUGUCUCACCUGGGAGUUUGCUUUGCAUUUUUUUAGUUUUGUGCAUUUUUCUCGUUCCCCGUCAUUACCUCUGUUAUGCAAGUGAACAUUGGAGCAAGAUUUUCCAGGAUUAUGGUGAGCAGCGUUCAGUGUUGCUAGGAUAAUUAAUAUCCCAGGGAAGAUAUAGUAUGUUAGUAAAGAAAUGUCGCAAAUCUGAAACUCAAGCAGAUUCUUGUGUGACAGAUGGAUCAUCAGCAUUUUAUGCACAUGAACUUUGACGAAUGAUUUUUGUUUUUCCAGAAACAAGUCUUUGUUUUUUCGGUGAGUUCAAAAACCAAGUGACCCAGUUGGUGACUCACCAUUUCCUCAGCCUUUCUGUAAAAUUGAGACAAUUUUCAAAUAGUGUGAAGAACUGUUGGUUCACUCCAAGUAUCUGUCUUUUAAAAGUAAAUUUCGUAAAUUUCUGGCCUAUUUGGACAUUUGCAUAACUGUAGAUUCUGUAAAACUCUUUCAAAACUCAUUCCUGUUCAUGUCACUAACAUGGGUUUAAUGUGGUGCUGGUGUAAAACAAAAUUCUUGUUGUGGGUUGCUGCUAUUGUCUGCACAAUGGGAGAAAAAAAAAAAUAAGACGAAGAAUUUUUAUAUGUCAGAUUGCCAGAACGAGUUGCUUAAAAUGUUAAAUUUUCUAGCAAGGUCCGGAAUUCAGCUCAUCAGACUAUGGAGCGGUGGGGUAUGACGGUGCUAUAGCUUAUAUAACUCUCAGAUAACGGUGUCCAAGUAGCCAUGAACAACAUUAAACAGAGCACCUUUGUACAGUACGUCCGGUUUGCACUAGCAUACUUUGAUAUAUGCCAUUUAGCUUUUUAGUGGCCCACUGAAAACUGUACAAGGUUUCUUAAAGUGUGUCUUUUAAAUGUUUUCUUUAAUAACAAUCUUUAUUUUGUUUCUUGUAAUGUAGGACUCCUACAAACAUCUGGGAAUUUCUAAACAGUCAUUUUCUGAUGACUGAAACGAUUGGAAAUUGCACAAAAACCUACAUAUUUAUUGGAUCAAAGAAAUGUUCAAUAUUUAUAAGUACACAUUUUGUAGUUACAGAUCUGUAAUCCUAUAUCAUAAUGUAAUUUUUGUUGUGAAAACACAGUAUGAUAGCAAUGAUAUUAACCAGCCACUGUUCAUGUAAAUCACUAGCCUGUAUGAGAAAUUCAAAAGGGAACAACUAAUGUACUUUGUGUUGGAAAAUGUACAGAUAUUCUAAAUACCGACACUGCUACUUUGGAUAACAGACUUAAUUUAUUGUCGGUGGACAACGAGUGUAUUGAGCAGGAUGUUUGGAAAAAAACAACAUUUUCUAGGCCAUAGCUCAGUAUAAUUCAGUGACAUUCUAUGUCUCAUGCUCUGUUCUUCAGUAUGAUCUCUGGGAAAUAAAUGUACACACAUUGAAGCAAUUUGGUACAUUGAAA